UGGAACUAAGUUCGUGAAACUGCUCUCCUGUUGUUCUUCCCUCCUGUUUGGGACCUGCUGGCAGGAUUCUGAUGUCGCGGCUCGCUACACAAUGGAAAUACUCAGACUGAGAGUAAUUAGAUAUCUACUACUAUACAGCAGUGCGGUUGCUCUUAUCUCGGCUCAGCUCUGUUAUAGGACCCAGCCUGUAGACAUCUCAAGGUUAUGCCCAUUUUCAUUUCUCAAGAAACAUUGAGAGACUUUAAAUUCAAAGGAAGAGGAGAUAUUCUCCCACAAAAUAGAGAACAGUGUUUCUUUCUACUCCACUUUGAACAUGAAAUCCAGAGUUCUUAUUUUAAAAUAAAAAUUGG